rnacentral:lncRNA from 1 species
GGGCGCGGGGCGGGCGGGCUAUGGAGGCGGGGUUAGGGGCUCGGCCCCACCCGCUACCCAGGGGGCGGGGAAGAGACCUCCGGCUCCAUCGCGAGCAGACUCGGGGAGGACAGUGCAGAUACCCGGCGCAGACCCAAGGAACAGCCCCGAUCGCCCACUCGGCUGCAGGGGUCCCCGGGGCAGGUGCAGCAAGCCGGGACCCGCCCUAGAUGCGCUGGGAACCUUCGGCCUCCCGGCCGCGGAGCCAGGCGCUGGACGCGCCGCCCCUCCAAGGUGCGGCUGGUGCCUCCGGCGCGGGCGCUGGGCCUUUGCGAAGUUCUCCCGGAUCUCUGGGUGCAGCCACCUGAGCUGGGAGGCAGGGUGAGAGAGAAGGCAGAAGAGAGCUCCAGGCGCAGCGUGCAGACUAAGGCGUGGUGA